rnacentral:rRNA from 1 species
AGCAGCCGCGGUAAUUCCAGCUCCAAUAGCGUAUAUUAAAGUUGUUGCAGUUAAAAAGCUCGUAGUUGAAUUUCGGGGUUAGUAGGUUGGUCAUGCCUCUGGUACGUACUGGUCUCACUGAUUCCUCCUUCCUGAUGAGCCGUAAUGCCAUUAAUUUGGUGUUGCGGGGAAUUUGGACUGUUACUUUGAAAAAAUUAGAGUGUUUAAAGCAAGCUAACGCUUGAAUACAUUAGCAUGGAAUAAUGAGAUAGGACGUUUGAUUCUAUUUUGUUGGUUUCUAGGAUCGACGUAAUGAUUAAUAGGGAUAGUUGGGGGCAUUAGUAUUCAAUUGUCAGAGGUGAAAUUCUUGGAUUUAUUGAAGACUAACUACUGCGAAAGCAUUUGCCAAGGAUGUUUUCAUUAAUCAAGAACGAAAGUUAGGGGAUCGAAGACGAUCAGAUACCGUCGUAGUCUUAGCCAUAAACUAUGCCGACUAGGGAUCGGAUGAUGUUAAUUUUUUAAUGUACUCA